UACGUAGGGGGCAAGCGUUGUCCGGAAUCAUUGGGCGUAAAGAGCGUGUAGGCGGCCCGGUAAGUCCGCUGUGAAAGUCGGGGGCUCAACCCUCGAAUGCCGGUGGAUACUGUCGGGCUAGAGUGCGGAAGAGGCGAGUGGAAUUCCUGGUGGUAGCGGUGAAAUGCGCAGAUAUCAGGAGGAACACCAAUUGCGAAGGCAGCUCGCUGGGACGUUACUGACGCUGGAGACGCGAAAGCGUGGGGAGCAAACAGG
rnacentral:rRNA from 1 species